GAGUUUGAUCUUGGCUCAGAGCGAACGCUGGCGGCGUACUUAACACAUGCAAGUCGAACGAGGAGCGCCAGUGUAGCAAUACAUCGGUGCUUCUAGUGGCGCACGGGUGAGUAACACGUGGGCAACCUGCCCUUGAGUCCGGGAUACCCUCUCGAAAGGGAGGCUAAUACUGGAUACGCCCUGAGGGGGAAAGCAGAGAUGCGCUAAGAGAGAGGCCCGCGGCAGAUUAGGUAGUUGGUGGGGUAAAGGCCUACCAAGCCUGUGAUCUGUAGCUGGUUUGAGAGGAUGAUCAGCCACACUGGGACUGAGACACGGCCCAGACUCCUACGGGAGGCAGCAGUGGGGAAUAUUGGACAAUGGGGGAAACCCUGAUCCAGCAAUGCCGCGUGAAUGAAGAAGGCCUUAGGGUUGUAAAAUUCUUUUGUUCGUGACGAUAAUGACGGUAGCGGACGAAUAAGCCCCUGGCUAACUCUGUGCCAGCAGCCGCCGUAAC
rnacentral:rRNA from 1 species